UUAGGUUGGUGCAAAAGUAAUUGCGGUUUUUGCCAAUUAAUGGCAAAACCCGCAAUUACUUUUGCACCAACCUAAUAUAA
rnacentral:miRNA from 1 species